ACUGAGGGUAAACCUGAAUAGGAAAUAAAUUCUGGAAGGGUUUAUUUCUCAAACUCCGUCCCCGUAGAAUGAGUUGGCGGUCGAUUAGGUUGUUGGUGGGGUAAAGGCCCACCAAGCUUAAGAUCGGUAGGGGCCUUGGUAGAGGUAGCCCCGAGAAGGACACUGAGAUACUGGUCCUAGCUCCACGGAGUGCAGCAGGCGCGAAACCUUUACAAUGCACGAAAGUGUGAUAGGGGGAUCCCAAGUGCUCAUACACUGUAUGGGCUUUUGCCAAGAAUAAAUACCUUGGCGAAUAAGUGGUGGGCAAGACGGGUGCCAGCCGCCGCGGUAACACCCGCGCCACGAGUGGGAAUCGCAUUAUUGGGCCUAAAGCGUCCGUAGCCGGUUUUGUAAAUCUCUUGUGAAAUCGUCCUGCUUAACUUGACGGCGUGCAGGAGACACUGCAAGACUUGAGACCGGGAGGAGUUAGAGGUAUUCUUGGGGAACUGGUAAAAUGGUAUAAUCCUAAGAAGACCACCUGUGGCGAAGGCGUCUAACCAGAACGGUUCUGACGGUGAGGGACGAAAGCUAGGGGAGCGAACCGGAUUAGAUACCCGAGUAGUCCUAGCCGUAAACGCUGCGAGCUAGGUGUUGCAUAUUCUAUAUGAAUAUGCAGUGUCGAAGCGAAGGUAUUAAGCUCGCCGCCUGGGAAGUACGGUCGCAAGGCUGAAACUUAA
rnacentral:rRNA from 1 species